GAUGAAGAACGUAGCGAAAUGCGAUAAGUAAUGUGAAUUGCAGAAUUCAGUGAAUCAUCGAAUCUUUGAACGCACAUUGCGCCCGCCAGUAUUCUGGCGGGCAUGCCUGUUCGAGCGUCAUUUCAACCAUCAAGCCCCCGGCUUGUGUUGGGGACCUGCGGCUGCCGCAGGCCCUGAAAACCAGUGGCGGGCUCGCUAGUCACUCCGAGCGUAGUAAUACAUCUCGCUCAGGGCGUGCUGCGGGUUCCGGCCGUUAAAAAGCCUUAUUUACCCAAGGUUGACCUCGGAUCAGGUAGGAAGACCCGCUGAACUUAAGCAUAUCAUAAGCGGAGGA
rnacentral:misc_RNA from 1 species